AGUAGGCACUGUGAUUAUCUUCAUUCUACACAGAAUCAAAUGGUUUGCUUAAGAUCAAAGGAUUGAUAGAGCCAGGAUUGGAUUCUGUCAGUCUUACUCCAAAACUUGUGUUCCUUAGUAUUGUGUCAUAUAUGUAUAUAUUUUGUAAGAAAUAUACAGACUGUACUAUAAGUGUGCCCUAUGUAUUUACACACUUUAAUGAGAAUCAGGAAUUAUAGCUGAAUACAAUUAAAAUUGAGAUGGGCUUUGAGUUAUAAAAACAGGGUGGAAAGAAUGCAUUUUCCUACCAGUGAAAGAAAAUAUUCUCACUCCAGCAGGGAAGAAGUUUUCCGAUUUUUUACUUACCUGUUCAUUGACUCUUUUACAGAAGAUGGCAAGCAGGAAGACAGCUGCAAUUGGAGGCCCAAGGCUCAGCACCGGACUGGUAGCCUAUGGAAAGUGCUCAAGAAAUGUCUGAUGAAGCCAAUUGAAUUAAUGGAAGUUAGCAUUAUUAAGGAUUACACCAUAAUCUUUCCUCAUGGACCAUUUAUACACUAGGUCUCUGAGGCAGUCCCAGCAUGAACAUAUUUUUUCCAGCUUUAUUGAGGUUGGUGUGAGAUCAGCAGAAGACAGCAUGACUGAGCUAAACUGGCAGCAAACUCACCAGUGAUCGUGUAAAUAGCAGUUAUAGCCAAGAGGAUGAAGAUUGCCAGUGGCGAUUCCUGAAGCUGCUCCCGUCCCAGCCAGCCCCACAAAGUGGCCACUGCCGAUAUUACUGGCGAAGAGAGAGGCGCCCAUCUGCAAUCCAAGGGAACAGACUAGGGUC